rnacentral:rRNA from 1 species
AACUUUCAGCAACGGAUCUCUUGGCUCUCGCAUCGAUGAAGAACGCAGCGAAAUGCGAUAAGUAAUGUGAAUUGCAGAAUUCAGUGAAUCAUCGAAUCUUUGAACGCACCUUGCGCCCAUUGGCUAUUCCGAAGGGCAUGCCUGUUUGAGUAUCA